rnacentral:rRNA from 1 species
GACGAACGCUGGCGGCGUGCUUAACACAUGCAAGUCGAACGGUGAAGCCCUUCGGGGUGGAUCAGUGGCGAACGGGUGAGUAACACGUGAGCAACCUGCCCCUGGCUCUGGGACAACCACUGGAAACGGUGGCUAAUACCGGAUACGACCCGCCUCGGCAUCGAGUGUGGGUGGAAAGUUUUUCGGCUGGGGAUGGGCUCGCGGCCUAUCAGCUUGUUGGUGAGGUGAAGGCUCACCAAGGCGACGACGGGUAGCCGGCCUGAGAGGGCGACCGGCCACACUGGGACUGAGACACGGCCCAGACUCCUACGGGAGGCAGCAGUGGGGAAUAUUGCACAAUGGGCGAAAGCCUCAUGCAGCGACGCCGCGUGAGGGAUGACGGCCUUCGGGUUGUAAACCUCUUUCAGCUCCGAAGAAGCGAAAGUGACGGUAGGAGCAGAAGAAGCACCGGCUAACUACGUG